AACGAACGCUGGCGGCAUGCCUAACACAUGCAAGUCGAACGAGACCUUCGGGUCUAGUGGCGCACGGGUGCGUAACGCGUGGUAACCUGCCCUUAGGUUCGGAAUAACUCCCCGCAAGGGGUGCUAAUACCGGAUAAUGUCUUCGGACCAAAGAUUUAUCUCCUUUGGAUGGGCCCGCGUUGGAUUAGCUAGUUGGUAGGGUAAAAGCCUACCAAGGCGACGAUCCAUAGCUGGUCUGAGAGGAUGAUCAGCCACACUGGGACUGAGACACGGCCCAGACUCCUACGGGAGGCAGCAGUGGGGAAUAUUGGACAAUGGGCGAAAGCCUGAUCCAGCAAUGCCGCGUGAGUGAUGAAGGCCUUAGGGUUGUAAAGCUCUUUUACCCGGGAUGAUAAUGACAGUACCGGGAGAAUAAGCUCCGGCUAACUCCGUG
rnacentral:rRNA from 1 species